UCUCUUACAGGUUCAGGUAGGCAUGUGACCCAAUCCUGAUGGUUCAUUUCUCUCACGUCCAAUCACUUCCUUUCCCUUGUAGGCUACUGAGUGGUUUUCCUCCUGUCUCCCUGGUUCUGCUGCACAAUCCAGCUUGAUCCUCAGACCCCAGCUGUUUCUCAGGACUCCUCUCAUGGCCUGCCUUCUGCACAAUAUCAAAGUCAACUCAAGGCGUGUGGUGCUGCACACUCAUCCCAGCUCAAGGCCAGAAGUGGAUCAGUCACUAGCCUCUGACAGGAAAUAGCGAUCACUGUAGUGACAAACAUACAAUGGCUCAAACACCAUCUCAAAGCCCCUUCCCCACUCAAUCUGUCCAGGACAGGGAGUCCUCUCCAGCUCGUGGUGAACCAGACUUGCUGAGGCUGAAGUGUGUCAGUCACUGGGAGCUCCACAUUACUGAAUGGAGAGGGACACAUCCUCUGUAGCCUAGGCUAAAAUCUUCAGUUCCCCAGCACUCUCCCAUCUCUGCUUCCCAAGUGCUGAAAUUACAGGCACAAGCCAUUAAGCCUGGUCCCAAAGGCACUCUUAGGCCUCCUGCAAGCAGGCUCUUGCUGUGGAUGCUUAGCUGCUAAGAGCUUUAUGCCGAUGUGAGGGCAGACAGACUGUAUGUAAUUAAAGUUAUUUCCCAACAGGGCAGGGAAGGAAGGCUGCCUGCGCUUCCCUGAACCGAGAGGCGCUGUGCUGGCCGCUGUGCUGGCCAUAGUCAAUUAGUCUCUGGAUGAGGUGAGGUGUCUGCCUCUCAAAGCACGUCCAUCAGUGCUGCUUGCUGAGAAAGGUCCUUUCCCAUUCUCACAGGUGUCACUCACUACAGCAGCACAAAGAGUUUUCUGAGUAGCCUGAAUCUCAGUAUGUCGCUUCAAGGAAGGAACAUAAGUAGUGACUCUCCUCCCAGCUGUCCUAUUAAGCAAACAAACCAUCAAAUAUCCUAAGACCUUAAGGACGCCUCUAAACUCUUCUCUAGAAAUCACUCUCGGUGCCUGUAAUCUCCCUUUUUAGCGGGAACAAAACACUGCUUGUUUGCACAUAAACAUCUGAAAGAAAAUAACAGCUGAUCUGGGUAAGACAGCAACACAAAGCCAUGAUUGUAUGAGGACAAUUCGAGAGACUGGGAGCAAAGGACUAGUUGGCUGUCUGUAGCAGCAGGAGGCCUCGGGUGAAAAAGUCUAGGGCUUGUCACUACCUGAACAGAAAGAAGUCACUGCGACCAACAGCACUGUGCAGUUUAUUAACCAUUCAAGUACAGUAGCAUCUGGUGAGAUUGGGACAGAAUUGGGAUCGCAAAGUGAACAGAUACUCAGCAUCUAAUGGGUUGGAAGAAGCCACUACAUACUCUUCACGAACGUCUUCCACAGUCAAUACAGCACUAGCCAUUAACCCAGCACACCGAGUGUGCCCGAGAGGAAAAGAUGCAACGAGAAAAAUAGCUACGUUAGAAAGACCAACACUUUAAAAAAGAG
rnacentral:sRNA from 1 species